rnacentral:rRNA from 1 species
UGCAAGUCGAACGAUGAAGCCCUUCGGGGUGGAUUAGUGGCGAACGGGUGAGUAACACGUGGGCAAUCUGCCCUUCACUCUGGGACAAGCCCUGGAAACGGGGUCUAAUACCGGAUAACACUCCUGCCUGCAUGGGCGGGGGUUAAAAGCUCCGGCGGUGAAGGAUGAGCCCGCGGCCUAUCAGCUUGUUGGUGGGGUAAUGGCCUACCAAGGCGACGACGGGUAGCCGGCCUGAGAGGGCGACCGGCCACACUGGGACUGAGACACGGCCCAGACUCCUACGGGAGGCAGCAGUGGGGAAUAUUGCACAAUGGGCGAAAGCCUGAUGCAGCGACGCCGCGUGAGGGAUGACGGCCUUCGGGUUGUAAACCUCUUUCAGCAGGGAAGAAGCGAAAGUGACGGUACCUGCAGAAGAAGCGCCGGCUAACUACGUGCCAGCAGCCGCGGUAAUACGUAGGGCGCAAGCGUUGUCCGGAAUUAUUGGGCGUAAAGAGCUCGUAGGCGGCUUGUCACGUCGGAUGUGAAAGCCCGGGGCUUAACCCCGGGUCUGCAUUCGAUACGGGCAGGCUAGAGUGUGGUAGGGGAGAUCGGAAUUCCUGGUGUAGCGGUGAAAUGCGCAGAUAUCAGGAGGAACACCGGUGGCGAAGGCGGAUCUCUGGGCCAUUACUGACGCUGAGGAGCGAAAGCGUGGGGAGCGAACAGGAUUAGAUACCCUGGUAGUCCACGCCGUAAACGUUGGGAACUAGGUGUUGGCGACAUUCCACGUCGUCGGUGCCGCAGCUAACGCA